GUAGAUGUCUACCGCCAUUGAUUUGGAACAACACAGAGAAGAUUAGCAUGGCCCCUGCGUAAGGACGGCAUGUAUAACUUGAGAGGUUGCCAGAUGUAGAU
rnacentral:snRNA from 1 species